rnacentral:lncRNA from 1 species
AAAAAAUCAUUACAGCCAGCCACCAUUUUUAGACGAUCUUCUUUUUCUUCCACAUUUCUUCUUUGUUGUGCUCUCUAAAUCAGGCCGUCAUGGUUCUUUGGUUUUUCCAUCCCCUGAUAAAGUAUUUCCUUGAUAAGUGAAUUUUCUCACUGCUUUGAUCGCUUCUCUAUUGAAUCGACCCAACUUUUUGAAAUACAUUCCCAUUUUAUUCAUCCCUAUUACUUUGAAACUUCCAAAAACCCUAAAUCUUUCUCAAAGGAGAUAGUCACCCCCCUUUUUUCAACAAAUUUUGCUGGAGAAAUAUAAUUAAUCAAAGCCUUCCCUGUCAAUUUCAACAGCCCUUGCUACCGCACUGGAUAGGCCAGAUCUAAGAUAAGUAUUUUCAUUUCCUUUUAAUCUUUCUUUUACUAAGAUAUAAGCAACUCUAUUCAUUUGUUUCCUUGCACGUUGAAAAAAACAAGUAACAAAGUUACUACAUAAUCAUUUAGCAUCAACAAUGUACGCUCUAAUUUCUGAUCUGUCUUCCUCCCGACUUUUUACUUUUCUAAUGAUAGUUAACGCAUUUUCCUCGACUUUAACUCGUAGGAAUCCAGAUUCUGCCCCAAAUUGAAUCGCUUGUACGCACGCGAGAGCUUCUGCUGCAAAUGUUGUUGGUAUGUGUUCAUUUCUGUAAAUUUUUGUUUUUAAGGCUUAACCUAAAGAGUUUCUUAUAACAAUCCCUAUACACGAUCUAUUGUUCUGUUUUUCAAAUGCAACAUCAAAAUUGAUUUUGACAUUCAUCUCAUUUGGUGGCCUCCAAUUCUCAUUAGCAAUUAUGUUGACAGGUAUCAUUCUAUAUACCCAUUCAAUUUCUUGUAUAUAGUCUAAAAUGAAUUGGGCAACUCUCGCUUCUGUUUGUGCCUUAUUCUUAUGUAUUAGCAAAUUUCUUGCUGACCAUAAGCCCAAUACAGUACAUAUAAUGCUUUUAAUCUGUCUGUUUCAUUUUUUUGAAUAAAUAACUGAUCUAGUCCUUAAAUUGUGCCUGAUUUUGUUCCAGGGGCCAUCCAAUUCCUAGCAUUUCCCAUAUUCCUGCUGCAAAAUAGCAGUCUUGAAAGACAUGCUCCCUGGUUUUUUCAUUAUUUCUGCAUCUUAGGCAAGUCGCAGAAUAUCAUAUCUUGCGUUGAAGCAAAUUAGAGAAAGUAGGAAGGAAAUUAUUUAAGGUCUUCCAUACUAGGAUUAUUAUUUUAGUUUGCAAGUUUUCCUUCCAUAAUUCGUUGUACAUGGGUUUGUAAGAAAUUUGAUUUUGCUGUAUGUUUGUUGAAAUUUUCGAUUGUAUUAAUUUUUUGUACCCACUGCGUACUGUAUAAACUCCCGAAGCCUCUCUUCUCCAUAUGAAUUUAUCCAAUUCUUUCUCAAGUGGGAGGGGAAUACACAAAAUUCUUAGUGUGUUGUCUUGGUGGAAGGUACGUUGAAUAAACUCUUGCUUCCAUCGGUUUGUAUCUUGCUCAAUUAGUUUAAAAACUAACACAAGAUUUUAGGUACUGCCUGGAUUUUGAAUCUUGUAGUCAACUGAGCACGGAACCCAUGCAUCAUUCCAGAUUUGUAUUUGAGUUCCCGAUCCAACUCGCCAGCCCAUCCCUUUCUCAAGAAGUCAUUUUGCCGACCAAAGGCUUCGCCAGGUAUAUAACAGUAAAUUCUCUAACCUUGCAUGCAUAAAGUCUGAAUUUGGGCAAUAUUUGGCUUUUAAAGAUUUGGCUAAUAAUGAAUCCGGAUAAUAAAUCAAACGCCAACUCUGUUUAGCUAGCAUUGCCACAUUAAAUUUUGAAAGGCAUCGAAAUUUUAUUCCUCCAUCCUUUUUUAAUUCACCAAGCUUACUCCAUUCACACCAGUGUAUGCAACGUUUUUCAGAACUUUUUUGCCACUAGAAUUGACUCAUAAUAUUUUCAAAAUCUUUGCAUAAUAAUUUUGGCAGCAGAAAACAUGCCAUUGUGUAGGUUGGAAUAGCCUGUAAAACUGUUUUUAUAAAGACCUCCUUUCCUCCCAUUGACAAGAAUCUAGUGCUCCACCCUCAAACCUUACUAAUCAUCUUGUCCUUUAAAUUUUGGAAAGAUAUUUUCUUAUCCUUUCCAACCAUAUUUGGUAAUCCUAAAUAUUUUUCUGGAUUUUUGAAGCUUUGAACACCCAAUAUGUUAGCUACUUGUUCCCGAAUUUGCUUAGAGACAUUUGUACUAAAAUAUGCCAUUGACUUUUCGAAAUUAAUACAUUGCCCUGAGCAUACCUGAUACUCUCGUAAAACAUCUUUUAGAUUAUUAGUUACUCUAAUUGUUGCGUUCUCAAAAAGAAUGCAAUUAUUUGCAAACAAUAAGUAUGUAAUUGGGGACCUCUUCGGCAAACCUUUGCUCCCUUUAUAGAGCCUUCCCUAGCUGUAAGCCUCAUCAAAGAUGAUAAUCCUUCACUAAAAAUUAAAAAUAGAUAUGGGAUUAAAGGAUCACCUUGACGCAAACCCUCACUGGGCUGAACUUUUCACCCCUCACCCCAUUCAAACAAACAGAAUAUUUAGUUGUUUUUACACAUUUCAUGAUUAAAGACACAAAAGACUUUGCAAAUCCCAUUUUUUGCAUGACUUUUUUCCAAAUAAAGCCACUUCACCUUGUCACAUGCCUUACUCAUAUCCAGUUUUAAGGCUAAGCUCCUAUUAUUACCUAUUCUCUUUUGUUUUAAUGUUUGCAUUAAUUCAUAAGCCGAUAGAAUAUUAUCAGUGAUGAGUCUGCAUGGAACAAAUGCGCUUUGGGCCUUAUCAAUGCAUUUAUCAAGAAUUUGUUGGAGCCUAUUAGCAAUUGUCUUAGCGAUAAUAUUGUACAUAACUGUGCAUAGACUAAUAGGUUGGAAAUUCUUGAGAUUGGUAAGAUUUGCUACUUUCGGUAUAAGCUCAAUAUUUGUUAUAUUAAUACCAUCAAUCGGCUCUCUCUCAUUUAAAAUCUUGAGACAAAAAUCACCAACUUUUUUUCUAGUAAUAUUCCAAAAUCUUUGGAAAAUAAAGCUGAAAAGCCAUCACAUCCAGCUGCUUUUGUUGGUCCCAUACUUUGAAGUGCUGAAAAAACUUCAUCACUAGUAAAAGCUUUACUUAGCAUAUCAUCCAUAGAAUCUGAGAUGUGUGUACCUAUUCCUGAAAAAAUGUAUUCAAGAUUACCAACACCUCCGGAAGAGAAUAGAUUUUCAAAAUAUGGUUUAGUCACCUCCUCCAUUGCUCUUCUAUUAGAAACUAACUGACCAUGUUCAUUCUUCAGUUCUUCAAUUCUGUUUCCUCUUCUUCUAUGGGAAGCAAAAUUGUGAAAAAAAUUUGUAUUCCUGUCUUCUUCUUUCAACCAAUUCAGCCUAGCUUGUUGCUCCCAAUAUUUCUCUUCUUUAUCAAUUUCCAAAUUUAAAUGGAUUUUAGCUUCGAUUAAGUCAGCCAAGUUGUUAGCCGUUCUUUCUAUUCCAUCAAAGUAUUCAAUACGGCCUAAUAGGUUUUCUGUCAAGCCUCUCCUUGACUUCCUGAUUCCCAUAGCCCACCUUUGCAAUCCUUUGCCAACCAAUGUUAAUUUCUCCAUUACUCCUCCAUUAGACAGUGUCCAAAGUUUUUUUACUUCCAUCUCACGCGAAUCUUCCAUAAACCACCAUGCUUCAAAUAUGAAUUUUACCAUUCUCUUAAACAUCUCUUCAAUUUUUGUUUGUAAAAAGAAAAGACAAUGGUCCGAGCAAGAAUGAGGCAAAUGUUGCAUUUUAAAUUUAGGGAUUAAUUCUAACCAAUUUUUGUUUGCAACUCCUCUAUCCAGUCGUUUUUUUAUGUUUGUUGUUGAAAGAUUACCACGUUCCCAUGUAAACUAUUUUCCUGCAUAGCCCACGUCUUCUAGACGACAAUCAUUAAGAACUUGACAAAAUUUUUCCAUUCGGCCUUCAUCCUUUGGUAAGCCCCCUUCCUUUUCAAAAGCAUAUAAAAUCUCAUUGAAGUCGCCACAAACUAACCAAUUUGACUCAUGUUCUCUCCCUAAUCUCCUUAGAAUAUCCCAACCCUCGCUUCUUCCACAAGCCUCCGAUGCAUCAUAGAAGUCGAUCAAUCUCCAAUUUACCCUAAUUUCAUUGUCCUCAAUAUUGACAUCAAUAUGAUGUUUGGAAAGAUUCUUAAAUUGAUUGUUACAUCACUUUUCCAACCAAGACUUAACCCUCAUCUCAUUUCCACUAUCGGAACAUCAAUACUAUAAGUAAAUCCACACCAUUGUCGAACACUUUCCAUUCGGGAAUUAUUUAACUGUCUCCAUAAAGAAGACAAUUUGAGGAUUAUAUGUUUUCAGCAUAUGUUGAAGUCUUUUAACGCCAUGUGGACUCCCUAAUCCAUAGACUUUCCAACUUAAAAUUUUCAUUGUGUCCAGUCGGCUUGCCUAUUGGUAGCCGCCAAUUUCUGAUUUUUAUAAUGGGUUUCUCUUCGUUCCCCUUGACCAUCCACAACUAUAUGACUUCCUGACCUAAGCCUCUUUUUUCUUUCCUCGUUCUCUAAUGGAAUCUCUUACAUAUCCUCUAUCAUAUCUUCCGUCUGUCCAUCACUUUUACCUUUAGCACUAAAACCCAGUUCUUGACUCAAAUUAAUAAUUUUACAAUCAUCUUUCUUACCAAUCCCCCUCCCAAAAUUAUUUCCUAUAUUAUCUUCCCGUAACCAGGCGCUUCGAGUAAUACUCGUCCUCCUAGGUUGAGCCCUAAGUGUAGUAUCCCAUCUAAAUUCCACUUCUCUUAAUCUUAUGUCAAUCCUUUUUUGACAAAAUUUGUCUACAUGUCCCAAACAUCCACAAAGAAAGCAAAACAAAGACAAUUUUUCAUAACGAAAUUUUACUAAAACCAGAUCUGAAUGAGGGAUCAAAAUCUUCUUUUUCCUCGAGUGGAUUUCUAAUAUCAAUCUGAACUCUAAUUCGCAUAUAGUUUCUAAAGCCUUGAUUAAGCUGUUCGGUGUCAUGUUUCAAAAAUUUGCCAAUAAAAUUUCCCAAUAAUUUUGCCACAUUAUCAGUAAAAAAAACCCGGUGGAAGAUUAUGAAUUUGUACCCAAAAAUCAGAAAAAACUAAUGGAACAGAACUCGGAUCCUCACCAUUUUUUAAUUUAUAAAGGAUAAAGAAAUGAUUAUUAAAAGUCCAAGGUGUUCCACUUAUUACCUGUUCCAAAUCAACCUCAUAGAAAAAUCUGAAUAAAUACAUUUUUUCUCCAAGUUCAGAGAUUUGAAUUCCCCCAACGGGUGCCAUAAAUUAGCCAUCUUAUUUUUCAUGGCCAAAAAAUUAACCUCAUUUGCUGUGAGGGCACAUCCAGCUAAGCAUAAAUCAUAUAUUGAUUGUUGAGGUCCUUCCUCUGCUGCAAAUUGAAGCCCUUCGUCUUCGUCGUCUUCUUCAUCCAGACUCAAAUUUGCCAAAUCAAUAUCCACUAAUGCCAUCUUCAAUCCUGUGCACUAUUUUCCAAUGAAAAAAAAAAAAGAGAACUUGAAAUUUAUUGUCGACAGAAAUUGCUAAUCACCUAAUCGAAAUCACAUUCAAAACCCUAGACUUUGCUAGCCAAGACCGUGCCACUCAUCGGACAGACUUAAAAAAACAAACAAACAAAUCUUUAAAGCUAAAAAAUAAAAAGUUUAACUCUUUAAAAAUAAAAAAUGAAUUAAAAUAUAUUUUAACUUUUAUAAUUUUACAGAAAAUGAUACUAAUUAUUUCAACAUAGAUGGUACGGACAGUUUGAAUCGACAUAUUAAAUUUGAUGAGGUAUUUUUUAGGCAGAGUACAAACCAGUCAGUUUUCUAUACUUCAUGCUUCCAACCACUGGGGACCACACAGAUUCCUCCGCAACCAAUACAUCAUUCGCAUUAAUCCAGUCCAAGAUGUUAUUUUACAUGAGAAAAACACUUACCAAUUCCUCUAUAGAUUAUUACCUUCAAAAUCAACACUCCUAGCUCAAUCAUAAACUUGGGAGUUUGAACAUUUUGAUAUCUUAUGCACAAGUCUGAAUUUAUGAGCUCUUUCACAAAUUUAAUAAUUAUUUAAAAUAUUACUCUUAAAUAAAUUUAGAUAAAUAGUUGUUCAAGUUCAUUUGAACUUAGACAGUCAUGUAUCUUUGUUCAUUGUAGAUAUUGUUUUUAAUAAUAUUUAAUAAUUUUUUAUUGUUUUAAAAUAAUUUUUUAUGUCCAAAUUUAUUUUGGGCUUGAGUUUUUAAAUAAUUAUUUUAUUUAGUAAUUUUUAAAAUAUUUGUCGAUGUGGCAAAUAUAGUACACCAUAUGUCAUUGUCGGGUUGUUUUGUCAAUCAUAUAUUACUUAAUCACAAAAAUAGGUAGAAUUUUUAACUGAAUCACCAAUUUUC